GGCACUGCCGCUAGCACUUAAUAGACAUUACUGCCACCUUACAAGAGAUUAUGAAGACCUCUCUCUUCCAUGAUGGCUUAGCAUGUGGAAUUCAUGAAGCUGCCAAGGCCUUGGACAAGCCCCAAGCCUAUAUUUGUGUAAUGACAUCUAACUGUGAUAAGCAUGUGUAUGUCAAGUUGGUGGGAGCACUUUGUGCUAAGAAUUAAACCAACUUAAUUAAGGUUGACGACAAGAAAUGGAAAAUGGUUGGAUACAGUUGUGUAAUGGUUAAGGACCAUAGCAAAGAAUCUAGGCUAAAGAUAGCAAAGUGUACUUUAAAUGAAAAAAA
rnacentral:lncRNA from 1 species